rnacentral:rRNA from 1 species
UACAGAGGGUGCAAGCGUUAAUCGGAAUUACUGGGCGUAAAGCGUGCGUAGACGGUAGCGUAAGUCGGGUGUGAAAGCCCCGGGCUCAACCUGGGAAUGGCAUUCGAGACUGCUCUGCUAGGGUGCGGAAGAGGGGAGCGGAAUUUCCGGUGUAGCGGUGAAAUGCGUAGAUAUCGGAAGGAACACCAGUGGCGAAAGCGGCUUCCUGGUCCAGCACCGACGUUCAGGCACGAAAGCGUGGGGAGCAAACAGG